GAUGAAGAACGUAGCGAAAUGCGAUAAGUAAUGUGAAUUGCAGAAUUCAGUGAAUCAUCGAAUCUUUGAACGCACAUUGCGCCCUCUGGUAUUCCGGGGGGCAUGCCUGUUCGAGCGUCAUUAUAACCACUCAAGCUCUCGCUUGGUAUUGGGGCUCGCGGUUCCGCGGCCCCUAAAAUCAGUGGCGGUGCCUGUCGGCUCUACGCGUAGUAAUACUCCUCGCGAUUGAGUCCAGUAGGUCUACUUGCCAACAACCCCCAAUUUUUACAGGUUGACCUCGGAUCAGGUAGGGAUACCCGCUGAACUUAAGCAUAUCAAUAAGCGGAGGA
rnacentral:misc_RNA from 1 species